ensembl:lncRNA
GACCAAAUGGGUAGUUCUCCAUCUCUGGUUCCAAAGACUGAGAUUCUGGAUAGCUCCUUCCUGGUGCUCAGCUGAUUUGUAGAUAACCACAGCCAAAGGCAUAAAGUAUAUUGAGCACUCUGGGGUUCUCGUGUCCUUGAUGAGGAGGGAUGCUCUUGUACCUUCUUACAAAACUGGUUCCUUAAACCAUGCCCAUACCCGCCCUGGUUCCCACCCUCUGACAAUGCAUGAGCAUGUCCUAAGGACUAGUGCAAGAGCAAACCUUGGCAAGCUAACCAACGAUAGGUGAUGCUGAUGUUCUCUUGUUGAAGGAACUAAUACAGGGAGUUUUCUUUUGAAAAAUGGGAGUCCUAUGAGUUGAUCUAGCUUGCCUUUCCUAUCCCUCUUCCCUUCCCUGCCUCUCAGAUCGGGUGUUUGGCUUUUCAGCGCUUUCACUCAAGCCAAAUCUGCAAGCACAUUUUUGGGUGGAUGUCACCAGGAUCCACUUCCUCCUGGCCCACAGACAGUCUGUCUCUUAUCUCACAUUAGUAUCAAUUAUUUACAGCAGUAAUGUUAAAUCAUGAAAACGAGGUUGCAGCAAAGCUGUGCCUUGGCUAAUGCCCCAUGCUGCCUGCAGCUUUUGGAGCCCUUGCGUUGUCUGCAUUUAACCUUCCAGAGAUGUGAUCCUAGAUAUAUUCCAUAUCUCAUGGCUGCAGGUUAGAGCAGGGGCAAGGCACCCACAUCCUCCAUGGCAUUUCUCUCCUUCCUUCUACCAGUGCCAUAGCACUUCUCAUAGCCUAUCAUUUGGGGGAAAGAAGCUCCCUCUGUGUUCACUCUGAUGCCAUGAGCUCUGAGCAGCGUGCUCAUGUUGGCACACAGUCCCUCACCAACUCCUUCAACAACUGCCUGCAUAAGGGAUUUUUUUUUUUUUUUGAUUCAUAGUAUUUAACCAUGAAUAUUUAAAAUCUCUGUUAAAUAGGGUUGUUAUACAGCUUAGAACAACAUAAAUACAAGUGUCUGGGCUUUACUUUGGAUCCAGGACAGCAGAAGUGCUUUACCUCUGAUGGAAAGUGCACCACUGAGUGAGGUGACGCUCAGUCUCCUGACCUUGGAACAGUGCCUACUUUUAGACUUCCAGUAACUCAGUAUUUUUCAGCUAAAUCCCUGCUUGCACCAGAGGAGCAAUCCUUUUCUAGCUGUGCUUCAACUGCUCACCUGGCACAUUCCCGCUCUGCUAGCUGCAGUUCUGGGAAGUGAAAAGAAACCUGAGGAGGUAAAAAGAAUGAAAAAAAAAAAUGAAAUUUGGAUGUAGAUACUGUGCAGGAAGUGAGGUGACCCCUAAAUCAUAGAAUUAUGGAGUCAUAGCACCAUUAACAUUGGAAGAGACCUCUGAGAUCCCCAAGUCCAACCCCACCCCAUCCCACGGUGCCCACUGCCCACGUCCCUCAGUGCCACAUCUCCACACUUCCAGAACACCUCCAGGGACAGUGACUCCACCACCUCCCUGGGCAGCUGUGCCUCUGCAUCACUGUUCUUUCUGGAAAGAAAUUUUUCCUAAUAUCCAAUCUUAUCCUUCCCUGGUACAACUUAGACAGCUGCCUGCAUGGUCCUGUUGAGCUGAGGCAGAGCUUGCCUUGGCCAGGCCUUUCCCAUUGCUCAGGGGAUGCUGAGGCAUUGAACAAGCUCCGAGCUCAGCAGGUUCUCUGCUGUUGCUCACCCAUGGGAUUUAGGGGAGAUGCAGGUGUCCCCUACAAGGGAGGAUGGAGAACAGGAAGACUGUUUUAAUUUUGAGCUCCUGUGAGUCACUUCAUUAGCCCUGCCUCUGCUUGACCCUCCUGCUGUUAUAUCAGCCUGACUGUUUAUUUUCCUCAUAAAACUAAAACAAGAUCGAUUGCUUUGUCCCGAGGCCCUUUAUGUGUCUUGGUGCCCACUGCAGCCCUGCCGUUAGCAGCAGGCCUAAUGCAAAUUGAAUCUUUGGGAAACGGGCAGUUUGGAGCUGCCCAUCUUCCUCCUCUUUCCUGCUUAAGUUUCAUCUAUUGCAUUUAAAAUAGAAACUUUAUCUAUUUAUUCUAAACAUAAAUAUGCAAUUUUCUUGCUGUCUAUAUGUGCACGGCGUGUCUCUGUUGUAGACACAUAUAUGCGAUCAAUAACCAUCUCUUGCUGGGGAUUUAAAUAUUAGUUUUCCAAAUCCAGUCUAGAGCACCAGAUUUAUUUUUAUGAAAAUAUACCCUUUCUUGCUUAAGGAGGGAUAUUAAUUAUAGAUGCAAACCCAUAAAUCUUCCGGAUUUAGGUGAGAUAUUUGCUGGAUUAUAAAUAUGAAUUGGAGAUGAGGGUCUUGCUCUUCCUAUUAUUACUAUUAUUAUUACUUACUGGUUAUUAUUUCGGUGUGAUCAGUAUCUUCGGGUGGGUCAAAUAUUGCUGGGGAAUGGGGAGCUGAGCCUUCAGAGGGUGCGCAUGCUGAAUUCAUUAAAAUGUUUUCUAUUCCACCCUUGCUCUCCACUGCGCUUCGCAGCCCGGUGAGUCAUUAAACACCCUGUUCAGAUCACUUCCCUUUCUCUCCAUCCUUCUUUUGGUACCUGUUUUCAUUGUGCUGCUUUUGCCAGAUCAUAUCAAGCUCCCUAGUGUUUAUUAAUAAUGUCCCACAUGCUAUUGACAAUGUGCUGUUGUUUCCGAGGGUCUGCUUCAAUACCAGUCUUGGGCAGCAGUGAAACCAGCGGCCAUCAGAGAGCCCAGACUCACCCAGGGCUUUGGCACAGGUAAUAAUAUUCUGCUCCAUUUAUUAUGACAAAUGUGGGAACAAAAGUAGUGUGCCACAAGGACUGAUCCCUUCCAACUCAAAAUGUUCCAUGACUCUAUGAUAAUUGCACGUUUCUUGCUAAUUCAGUGCAAACUGAGAUAGGAGUAAGUCACAGUGAUUCUCCCAGCCUUCACCAAGUGCUCCAAAGCCAAGAGGCAUUUCUAAAUCCCAGUUAACAGGAGUUAAACGGAAGACUUCACCAAGAACCUCAGGGCUUCCUGGUUCCCUGCUGAUCCUUCAACCAUGGGAUGCAAAAGGUGAGAUGCUCGCGGGCAUUAGCAGCAGCAAGAGGCAUGGAGCAAGGCUGGUGUGCAUCAAGAGAGGUUCCUGCAGGCAGCUCUGGCAAGUGCAGCAAUGUAGGGGGCUGCUGACCAAAGGAAAGCACAUGGUGGGAUCUCAAGUUGAUUUAAUGUAACACCGUACCCUGAAAUUAAUAGGACCUUGCAUGCCAGGACUGAAAAGAUAGGGCACUGUGUAAGGUCUGCUUUUUUAAAUUAGAGUCCCCUGCUUAAAUAAAUUAAGUGAGCUGUCAGUAUAUUAAAUGAUUUAAUGCCUUCUCCAGUUUUGCAGUGGAAUCCUAAUGAAAAUACUCUUCAGUAUAAAACGCUGGAUAAAUUAAAUGGUGAAGUGUUUUAAUAAAUGGUCUGUUGUUAUGGUGAACCACAUUAAAGUAAUGUUUAUCUCUAUGGUAAUGAUGUUGCCCUAGCUUUAAAACCAUUUCUGCUGGUUCAGGCUUCUUCAGAUAAAAUAUAAACGCUGAGCUGUUGUCCAGUUUCAAAAGCAUCUGCACAGUUCCUGGACCCAAACCUGAAAUCGAUGGCAGUCGUGCUGGCUGGCCAACACAGAGCUGGAUUCAAUGGAUUCAAGAGCAGAGGACUCUUGCACAUUUGCUCUGUGAUGUCAGCAGGGGGAUGAGGCAGAGCCUCCAAGCUGCAGGGGUGAGGCCCUACACGUACAUUGGGACGAGUUUGGGUAUUAAUGAACUACAGUGGAACAGUGAGUAGGCUGUGGAGGGGCUUAAAAUCUUUGCUGAUCUCAUUGCAGGUUAAGAUAACAAAUUAUAUCUCUUUUAUAUCCUUUAUAUAAGGUAAAGGCCUGCUUUUAAAGGUAAAGACAUUACGAGAAGAUAAAGUCCCUUUUAUAUAAAUUGGUUAUAAAACAAUUUUUAUUUUCUUGCUUUUGGAUAUCAGUUCUUAUUUGACCUCUUUCACUCAUCACAGUAUUUCUUUGGAAGGAAAAUUCUCCCCUCAUGCUAUUUUCAGAGCCUGAUAACCCAGAAAUAACAUCUUAGUGCCCAAAUUAAUUUUACAUUAAUAAUAAUAGUAUUAAUAAAAUAUACCUGUUUGUCCCCAGCUGCACUGAAAGAUGUCACUGGGGCUUACAAGACAGCCCCCAGGAGAAGCCAAAGGGUAGUUCUGGAGAUGCCCAAGAGUCGUCUGCACCAAAGGCUUUUGUGAGGAACUUCCAUGAAAGGAGAAAUUCCAGCAGCUUCUGAACCACAGAGCCAUUCCUCUGGCAGAGCUGAGGUGCCCAUGAGAGUCACCACUGAGGCUGACCACGAUCCAAAAGGAGGGGGUCGUCCCACUCAGUGCUCAGGGAUGAUGUCUUAAAUACUCAUAAUUAAGGCCAUCAAGAAAUCAGGGGAGGCGAAUCCUGUUCAUGCCGUGUGGGUCUCUGAGUGUUCAUUUAAAGAGUGAUCUUUGGUGGAUCUGAGAUAUACAUAAAAACAAAACAAAAACAAAUCCAUAUGAAUUUGAAAUGGUGAAAGAUGGUGAAACUGCUUCUUAGGAAGUGGUUCUGGUGUUGGUUCUGUCCGUUUAAGAAGUUCACCUGUCCCAGCAUGAAUUUUGCAGUGUCAGCUUGCAGUUACCGGCUCUUUUUAUUGCUCUGUCUGCUCGAUUGAAGAGCUUUCCAUUUCUGUCUGUCUGAGCACAUCUGGAUUGUCAUUAAGCCAUCCCUUAACCUCCUCUUUGUUAAGCUAAGCGCACUGGGGUCCUUGAAUCUGUCACUAUAAGGCAUGUCUUGCAAUGCUUCCGUCAUUCUUGUGUGCCUCCUCGGAGCCCUCUCCCAUUCAUCAACAUCCUUCUUGAGCUGCAGACACCAGAAAUAGCUGCAGGGUCCCAGCAGAUGCUACACCAGAGGUAUUCCACUCUGCUAUUUGUUUGAGCUUCCAGCGCUGUGCUAUAGGAUCCCUCCUCCCCCUGAAUGCCAUGAAAUUCCAGUUCCCAAGUGUGGCUUUGUAUGUGCCUGUGUUGAACUGGGUGGUUUUUUCUUCAAUCUGACUCAGGAGAAGGCUGAUCCUCAGCCCCACCAUGAUCCAAAUCGAACUCAUCAGCGAACUUUGAUUGUAAUUAGUUUUGAUUUUCUACCAUUUUGCUAAAAGUGAUGAACUGAAACACAGCCACUUGUGAUGAGUGUCUGCACGCAGCCGUACAUUUAAACAUAUCAGUGGGGUUUUCAUCCGUUUAGUGCGUGCCGUGUUGAUUUUACAUUGUUUUAGCUUCCUAAUAAAUGAGACAACAUUAAGUCAAAUGCCUUGCAGAAGUCAAACGUAACAGUGUUGAUGAAAUGUACUAAAUCAAUCAAAUCUAUAAUCACAUUCUUGAAAAAUUAUAUCAAUUUCAUUUAAUAAGAUCUAUUUUCCAUUAACUCAUGUUGAUUGUAAUUAAUUAUUCUCCUUAAAUUGUUAUUAAUCAAGUCCCCUAUCAGCUCUUCCAUUAUUUCUCACAAAAUCAACAUCAGAUAAUCAGAUUUAUAAUUACGAGCGACAUUCCUACGCUGGCACAAAGUCAGCAGCACUCGGGUGUGCUGUGUUCUUGGAGUCCGGGGCACGAGUUGGAGCUGGAGGUAUUUCACACAGUCCUAUGACAUUGCUAAUUUACUUAGCUUUUCCCCCGAAAUUAGAGGAAUUAAAUAUUUAGUGUCUGCCUUCUAUGUAUUUUCUAUUUAUCAUCUGCUAUUCUGUCUAGACAACCACACUCAGCCACUGAUAUCUAAAAACCACAUCCCUACUGCUCUUGGCUCUGCAAGCAGAGGUCUCACCUGCUGGCCUUCUGCUUGCUGUUGGUUAACACAUUUUCCCUUUGUGUGAAGGUAGACCUCCCCUUCCUCCCCCCCGAGUCUCUGCUUUAACCAGAAUAACCUUCUCUCUCUGAGCGCUGAGAUUUCACUAGAUGCCCUAAAAGCCAGAGUGCUUUUAAACAACGAGUUGCCAAAUAUCACACACAUUUUCUCUUCAAAAUCCUCCAAGUGACCUGGCUUACAGUGUUGAAAAGAAAAAGUGUCUGCUAUCUGCUCAGGCUUCGUUCUGUCUGAGCCCUGCACAUAAGAUGGAAAUGGCAUCCCCUCUGUGUUGGCUGUAAGUGGUUUUUAGAGCUGCGAUCAGCUCUUCAGCUGUCAAGACCAUCCUGCAGAGAAUCCUCCUGAUUUUGGUUAACAACGGCAUUUAUAAAUUCCCAAAAUUGGCAACACAAGCCCUCCAGCUCACAGCAUUCAAGUUCAGGUUUUCCAAGACACUCUAUAGGAAUUUUCCUUAAAUGUUUCUGGUUUCUGGUGAGAUUUGAGCAGUGUCAUCCAUUGGCUUUUACUUGUACUUGAGGUCACUUUCUCUUGAGCUCCCAGUGACUUGGAUGGCAGCAAUGUCACUUCUGGUAUUGAUUGUCCCUCCUACACCUUCUUUGCCCACUCAGUUUCUUUUUUUUGCAAAUAGGUUCCAGCUAUUGAUUUUAAUAUUCCAGGCACAUGGAUUUUCUCCCCAAGUUUAAGUCAUGCUCUCCAGAUAGAAUUUGUACUCAUAAAUUAGUCGUUCCCACUCUUUUUUAUGGCUCAGCCUUCCUGCGCUACCGUAGAGGCAAUUAAAGUUCUUCUCCUCGCAUCCUUUCGUGUGUUCAUUAGCUCUCUCCUCAUCAUUUUCUUCCUUGAGCCAGAGACAGGGACGGGUGCGGAAUGAAUUCUGUUUCCUCAUUGCUUUCCAGUGCCUGUAUCUCCAACCCAGUCCAAGCAUCCCUCCCAGCAGAAAAGCUAGAGCCCAAAGAGCCAUUGGGAGCACCACAGCAGAAGGGAAAACCUUUGCUGAUCUCAGCACUGACAGGUUUUGGUGGCAAUGAGCUGAUGGUUGGACUAGAUGAUCUCAGUGGCCACUUCCAAAUUCUACAAUUCUAUGAUUUUGGGGUCAUCAUGGAUGUAGAAUGAUUCAAACUCCAUUGUGCAACAGUAUCUGAUCUCCCAAAUUCUCCUGGCAGCCAAUUCCCCAGCUCAGCCCUACUGCAACUGCUCCCCAGACACACUGAACCACAAGGAAAAGCCAUUUGGAUUGUGCUCUCUUGCUUUCAUGUCCAUGGGGGAUUUCCUGGGAUUUUGCAAGCCCCAGGGAUUGAGGGCAAAGCCAACAGAGAAGCAGACCUGUGCUUAGGGCACCUGCACAAGCUAGCCUGCAGGCUUACAGCUUCACUGUGGUUUGAGGUUUGAAGGUUUCCUAUCACCUGCUCAUCUCCUGCCUUUAUGUAACAACAAUAACAAAACACGCAAAAAUAUCCCUCAGAAAAUCCAACCGUCUUUGCUCUUGCAGGUCCUGAACUGUUUGCCUCUGAGGGCAGAACACAGACUUUGGAUGGUUUUGAGAAGUCUCCUGUCUGGGUGGUUUUAUUUAUAUCUGAUGCAUUUUAAUGCAGAAUGGGCAGAAAUGAGAUGCUUCAGAGCAAAGUCAAAGCAGAGCAGUUCUGCAGGUCCGGCCCUCGCUGGGCUCAGUGGUGGGAUGUGCUCAUCACCCCCUCUUCAAAAUAACCCCCCACGUCUCUUUUCAUCCAACAAAACAUUUAGGUGCAUAUCUGUGAGUGAAGGAGUACAAGAGAAGGAAGCAUAAGGCUGUAAAAUAAACACUCUACAAAAUGCCUCCAGGUUGCUCUAAAUUAUGCAUCCUUCCUGUUAGGAGAUGUUCAAGGUUGUCUUUUCCUGUGAACAGCGCUCCUCCUGGGUCCUCACCUUCAUUUGCUGGGAUGCCUCUGCUCUGGGCUUGCAGUUACGUCUCCUUCCCUUUCGCUGCCUUUACAACCAUUUCUUUGCCGCCUUUUAUAAUUCAGAACACGACAAAUGAAUUCCCACCUCAGCUCAGCACUCAGAUGAUGGGAAAGGGAUAAACGGUCCCUGGUAGCAGCUCAGUGCACGGUGAGCAUCACUGCAGCCCCGUGCGGUGCUUUUUCCCUGCGCACAUGCAGGACAGACGGGCGCAGGAGUGGAGCGAUGCUCACAGCCCCAGUCCCUGGUGCAGAGCUGGGAGCAUCAGUGGGGCAAACCGUGGCCAAAAACACACGGACUCUUCUGGGAAACGGCCCAACCCUCUCAUUUCUGUAAUGUGAUUGGCACAUGGCUUGGUUUUGCGUUCUGUUUCUAAAGGAUAGCUGCUAUUCUUUUUAUUAAAACCUUUAAAUUUCAUUAGUUUGCACUUACCAAAAUAAACCUGGCAUCACUAGUGAGCUCUCCUGCGGCCGUGCCAUCGAUCUGAUGCAGCCCCGCGUCACACCUGGCACGGUGACAGCCGCGUCCCUCCAUGCUGAACAGAGGCACCCGCUCUGCCUGGAGGCUGAGAGGCAUUUUCAUGGAGUUCUGUGAUGAGGAACUUUUUGCUUCCAAGGUUUCAAGGGGGAAAAAAAGAAAAAAAAAAAAAAAAAAAAAAAAAGAGAGAGAGAGAGAGAGGUUGAUUGUAAAUUUAAUUCCUGUAUCUUAGUCAUUUCUGGGCCAUGGGUCAUUAGGCACACAUUAGUGCUGCUGGGCAUUUUUCACAGGGGCUGCACCAGCAGAAAGGAGCUGGGUUUUGCAAAGCCAAGGGUGUGAGAGAGAUCCGUGUGCAUGAGAAAGCUCAGUCCUGUGCUCAGCCCCGCAGUGCUGGGAAGUUCCCCCAAAUACUCCCGGUGUCCGUCUGUCCGCAGCCAUGACAAACAGCCCGGGGAAGCAGGCUCCUUUAAUGGGCUCCAGCAUUUUAUUUAUAGCCCCUUCGAAUAAGUGCAGCUGAUACUUAAGAUCGGCGGAUUUAAUGACAGCGAGCUGGCGAAAGGCCAGGGCUGCAAAUAGCGCCGCUAAAAGUCUUCUCCGCUAUAAAAUUUGUUUAAUGCAAGAAAUCAUCCCGUGCAGGGUUUUUGCCUGGCAUUUUUAUAAUUAGCGGGUGAAAUCGCCAUUUCGCCCCUACGAUCCGCCAGCACUUUAUGGGAUGGGGCUGCCUUGGAGAUGGAUUGUUGUGCUGGAAGAGGCGCUGAAGCUUUGCCACUCCGUAUCAUCCCACUCUUCCUCGGGGACACCCAUGUAUGCCCACUCCCAGCACCUUUCCCUUCCCUCCAGGUGUCAUCUCUCCGAGGUUUGACCAAGAGCCCAUCACACUAAGUGGUAAGGCAGCACGGCUGGGAGCUGGGACCUUUGGGAUCUGUAGACAUGCACUGAAGCCACCACACUUGGUUGGUGUUUGAUAACUUCGCCGCUUUUCACUAAGGAGCCCUCAGCAGCCAGGCUGAUAUCACCGGAGGCAAGACCUGAAUCAGACGCGGAGAAAUCAGCUAUUUAAAUGCACCGGAGUUGCUGCGCUCCCAUUAAACCCCAAGAAACCCAAUUGCAGUUUGGAGAUAGAGGGCCCAGGGGACCUCCUGGUGGGGCAUGACACAGGGAAUUGCCCAGGGAAGGAAUAGCUUCAGGUGAUGUUCCUCUCAGCAGCUGCCCUCCUCGUGCUUCACAUCGCUCCAUCCCUGCCUGGCCUUCUCUGUGUGCUGCCAAGCUUCCUCCGCAUUUAGAUGCCAGCCCACCUCUAUUCUCCACCCAUCUCCUUGGAUCAGCCACCUCAACCACAGAGCCCUGUCAGGGUGCCAGCAGGUGCAGGACCUCCCCAUGGCAGUGGGCAGCAUCACCACCCCAUCCCUGGACAGCCACGAGCCACACAGGAUUUCUGCCUGAAUUAACCUUCAUUAUUCAAAUCCCACCCAGAACACGGGUAGUGGUACCGACUCAGUAAGAUGAGAAUGCUUUUGUAGAAACGUCCCUGCCAAGAGCAAGUUACCCUUGGGCAGGGAGAUAGGGUUUUGUGAUUGCAGUUUUUUGUAUGGAUGAUGUCCUUGCCUGUCUCAGAGAGGCUCACUGUAAAGGCUCAGAGGUUGGGUGCCAUUGCUCUGCAGUACAUGGGCAUGUCCAACCCACAGCCCCACGAGCUGCAGAUAGAUGAGGAGGGUAAUGUAAUUCCAUCUUUGGAAAUGUCAGACUUUAUGGAUGAAUAAAAUACAUUCCAUUUUCUUCUGUUUAUCAAUAUCGGGUGAGAACAGACUAGAAAUUGCUUAUAAAUGGAUAGCAUCAGGAGAGAGGCCAUCUAUUUGUUAUCUAUAGCAGAAGCUGAGCACUGAUCCUACUGUGGCAGCCACAGGUCAUAGAAUCAAAGAAUCACAGAAUAUCCUGAGUCAGAAGGGACCCAUGAGGAUCACUGAGUCCAGCCCCAUCACCUCUGCAUAGAAUACAAUAAAUGACUAAAAUAGAAAAGCGAGGCAUGGAUAGAAGAAAGAGCAACGUCGGGUUCUCCUCCGUUCAGCCAAUAAUUCUGACUACACAGUGUUUAACGUUUGGUGAUGCCAUGUACUGGUUUUUCCAUAAGAUGGUCUCAAAGCCGCUGUGUGCUCUGAGUUUCGAUGGGAAAUCCACGGUGCCAUGUGAGGGUGGGCUCCCCAGAGCUCCAUGGGGUGUGCAGGAGGGAUACAGUCCCCAACAGCACCAUAACGGUUAAAGGAGAGAUUUCAGGAAGGGGAACAGAACAGCAGAGAGUGAACUUUGCAGAUAAAUUAUAGCUAAAGAGGAAUGAAACAUUAUAGUUUCAAUUACUGCUGUGCCCAGCCACGCAGGUAGUAAUUCAAACAAGAAACAAUUGGCGGAUUGUCACCCUCAAAUCAGACACAUACCAUUUAAUUCCAUUUACUGAGGGUUCACUGACUGUAUUUUGAAUCAAAUACAGCCAUUAAUGUGCAAAGAUCUGAAAAAUGCAUGUGUCCCUUUUACAAAUGUGACAAUGAGACGCUAAUUCCUGUAAAGCCCUUUUUUCUUCAGGUUGGACUGCUCCUAUUGCCUUUAGUUAUGCAGAUAUUACUUAUUAAGAGUUUUAAUAUGUCAGGCUGGUUCUUUUGAAAUGCCUUGUGCCUUUUUGUUCAGAGCGUGCGGAAAGCGCAGCUAAAUCCAUUCUUACGUUCCAUCAUCCAAACUUAGCAAAUUGAUUCGAAUGCAGGAAAAAAAAAAGCUACUUUCAUUAAAACAAUUAAAUCCUUACUAUUAUUGCUGUAUCUGGCUAUUACAGCACAAAUAUAAAUCAUCGGUUACAGGAGCUAAAAGCUUUCAGCUGGAAUUGCUCUACCGUCUGCCCCAUGCCAUGGGCAGGGAGGAAGGAUGACGUGCACCAGGCUUCUUUACGGGAGAUGCUGCUGCCUAAAUAAAAAAGUCAAGUCCAUAAAGUGAAUAUUAUUGUGCUACCUUGUUUCUCCCCAGCAGUGAAGCAAUGCAUGCCAAUGGGCAGAGCGAAUAGGAGGAAAUAGUUGGGUUGGUUUUCCCGCUCCUCGUGAAUUGGGGGACAUUUUGGAAGGGGCACAAAGGUUUCGGGGGCAGUUGAGUGCUUUUGUUUUCCUUUUCUAAAUAAACCACGGAUCUGCACUGCCACACACUCCCCGUGGGGUCACGAAGUGUGCUGCAGAAUAAAAACGGAGCUUUCUGUGAUAGUGCACUUGCCCUUCAGAGCCGCUUGGAUUGCAUCAAAGGGCAAAUUGUUUAAAUAUAAUUUUCCUGAUUACUGAAUAGGUCGACCGAACAGGAUAUGAAAUGCAAAGGCUUUUCUCAUCUUGCUCUUUGCAUCAUCCUAGGGCACACCUCGCUACAGGUGCUGCCUGUUGGCUCAAGGACACUUCCAGGCGGCAGAAUAUCAAAGGAGCAGGGAUGGACAGCCCAGUGCAUCCUGCACAUUUUAAAUUGCUUAAAAAGACUCUUUUGCAAAGGGAGUCUGAGGCAGGGACCGAAAUCAGUGCUCAGCAUGUGGAUUAGACAAACAGAGUGGUCAUUAGCGCUGAUUGUCAUUGUCACACAAGCACAGACUGUUAAUUCAGCCCAGGAGUCAUUAGAAACGAGCCUCAGCGGGGAGAGGGGUUGGUGUUGGUGUAGAUGCUGGAUGGUGGCUCUGCUGGCUUGGCAGAACAUGAAGGAGACCCCUGAGAUCCUACACUGCUCCGGUUGUAAAUUCCAAAUGGAAACUCCCAGGAAUUUGCCAGGAAAAGGAUAAUCACUCAUUAUUCUCAUUUGUGGAAAGCUGUUUAAACCCAGCCCUGCUUUUCUCACCCCAUUCCCAAGCUGAGCUCAUCACCUUUCUGAGAAGCCACGCUCUUCCAGGACAGUGUCUCCUCUUCCAGUGAGCUUUUGCCCUGGCUUUUCUCCUGGGUCCAUUUGGGAGGGUUCCAUCUUUGCCCCAGUGCUUUUGCCAGUGGCUGCCACCAUCCAGAGAGAUAUUCAGCCUCAAGGAGUCCCCAGCAAAGAGCACCCACUGCCUUCCAGCCUCACCCCAGCAGCAGCGUUGAGGUCCCACAGCUGCAGAGCAGCGCCCGUUGUGCUGUGCGGGUGCCCCUUUAUUGGAGUUCCUCCCACCACGUGCUUGUAAUUUAUUUGUAUUUCCAGCAGAGAUAAUUGAGUUAUCAAUUCUGUGCUCUUUUGGGCCAGAAGCAAAGAGAUCAGAGAGCUGUUUUAUACACCUAAUUAUAGAUUAUUUCCCAUAGCUAUAAAACCACAGAGGGACAGAUCCAGAGAGCAUCCUUUUCAUCUCCACUGACUUUUGCCUUUGCUCUCUCAGACUCGGAUCAGAAGGGCCUCCAGACAAAACAGUUGUCAAAAGCAAGGGCUCCUUAUCUCCUCACAGGACAAAACCUCUCGGCAUCCCAGUAGAGACCGUGCACAGUUGCUUAAAGAUCAAAUUCAACUUAUACUUAACCAAUCUGCUUAAGCCUUUAGCACCUCAUUGAGUCGUGCUGAGAUUUAUUCCGUUUCUGCACACUUUGGCUAUAAUCUGGUUCAUGACAAUGGCCUGGGGGUCUGCUGAGGAUGUAAAAAAUUGAUUUUCUUUGCCACAUGCAGGCUUUGUGGGCUUGCAUUUGGCAUGGCCCCUCAUGCCCCUGCUAGCUCCUAUGCUCAGCCUGCUCCCUCCUCCCCAGGCAGCUCUGAGCACCCUGCAGCAUCCGCAGAUCCCGCAGAGCUGCAGUGCAGAGCAGGGGUUGAGGUCCGGCAUACCCGAAUUUUCUAUGUAUGGAAAGAAAUGGGAAGUGUCCGUGCGUCGGUGUUAAGUUUCUGGUGGUGACACGCAGAGGCCAUCCGAGAUGUAUGACCUAGCAAAUGUAUUGUAACGCACACAUCACAUUCGUUCUCUGGGUAAAUAGAUAUUGUCUAGGGUACAUUACAUCUGUGCCUUCGUGUUUAAUUUAAUGUAAGUGAACUGCCUUAAUUUCUCCAAAUUGUAGUAAUAAACAUAACGUUAACGGUGAUACUGCUAAUAAUUUAUUUUGCAAGCGAUUAAUCAACAACAAACUCUUUUAAUUACCUGUUCUGAAAUGUCAAACUCUAAACUAAUUACAUGUUAUUACAUGAAUUCAUGUAUAUGUAUACACAAAUACGAAUUCCAAGGGUAAUUAAAAUGAAUAAACCAUCAGAUUUGGUAAAAUCAUGCAGCUGAGAGAAGUUUGCUCUCCACUGCAUUUCUGCCUCUUUGCAUUUCAUCCUCAGCACAAAGGGAGCUAGAUUCCAAGGCUCUGAGCGAGUCGUUUGUGCUUCUGCAAAAAAAUAUUACCCACAGAAAGUGGCAAACCCCGUGGGAUCUAUGCUGAGAACCACAAGGAAGAGAGGAAAGCAGCUGUGCUGCUCUGCUGGGGGGAGUACAGAGUGUGGGGCUCAUUUGGGUGCUCCCUGUGCAGGGGGUGAAACCAAGCAGGACAGAAGUGGGUGGUGUACAUUUGCUGUACUCAAUAAUUGGCAACGAUUUUUGGAAGGAGAUUGGGGGUGAAAUUAACAGAUUUGGGGCACGACCAAAUCUGUUCUCCAUUUUGUGUCCUUGUUGAGUCUCUCAGUGCAGGCACAACACAGUGCUCUUUGCAACACCCUGGUGACCCCUAGAUGAGACUUGGAAGACCACUUCUUUGCACUGGCACUCCAGACAUCAUGGCCAAGUGCCCCCAGCAAUGUGGGGCUGUAUGCCAGUGGGUCACGAAAGGAUGGAGACCACCAGCUUGGAGGGUCUGGGAAUGAAGCCUUUAAUUCAGGGGUGGACACUGAGGCAGUCCCAAUGGCUUGCAGCAUGGGCUGGAAGAACAGGAUGAUUAAUGAGAGCAAUGGCACGAAGGAGCCAGGAACUAAGUAAUGAGACCUUUAUUUGAUACAUAAUACAGCCGGGGCCCUCUAUAAAGAGAAUACCAAGAGUAGGGCUAAGUUUCACAGUUCUGGGAAUGUAUCAGGAAGGGGGAAAGCUUUGCUGACUUUGCAGCCAAACGCCUGGGCCAUCCGCAAGUGUUGUUCGCAGUGAGCUUGGGACAUGUUAAUUUGGUCAUAUAUCUUCAGAUGGUGGCAAGAUGCCCUGACUUUUGAUUUACUGUGCUGAGUGGGUCUGUGUGAUGUUGUGGGUUUAAAAUGAGGUGUCCAGAGCCUGAUUCAGUCACAGGAUCACUGAAUUCCAGCUGGGAGAUGAAGAAGCCGUUAUACACACACAACAAGAACUUCCAGCCAAAAAUUACUUAUGGUUUCAAUUAAAGGAGAAGAAGUUGCUGAUUGUUUAGGUAUGGAUGUCAGAAACACAGCAGUUAACAGCAGAGAUGAAUGAGAGAUAGUGAGGUGAUAACUUAGAUAAAUUGGUAUCUCAUCCAUAUUAAGGAGACAGCUCAUCCUCUGGUGCUGCUGGAUGACAUGAAGAGUGGAGUGUAUAUGGAUACUAAAAAACGUUGGUCUUAAAGUUAAAUCCCCAAGAACCAUCAGAAAUAAGUCUCAGAAGCCAAAGUGAGAUCUGAUGCACGCUGCAAAAAUAUGCAGUCUGUCAGGGAACGCUGCUCUCUCCAUAUAACUUCCACCGUUUGUGGGACAAUUAUAGAGAAAAUGAUACUGUGAUCUGUAAAGCAGUUCCUGCAGUGGUUUUAUUCACUAACUCGAUGCCACGCAUAAUCAUAGCCAGUAACAUCUCCAGAGGUGUGUGCAUAAUAGAGAGACAUCAAGUCAAUGAGUCAAAACAUCAGAAAAUAAAAUUCAGAUGAACAUCACUUGCAGAAAUUCUAUCAUCUGUCAUUUAACGCUGUCUGAAGACCUCCACGUUGAAAUAAGGCGUGGAAACCAGAAGUUACCCCAGGCAGCAGUCCUUAGGACCUGCACGGACUCAGGGCUUUCUGCAAGUUGGGUUGAGUGCCAAAGAAGUUCUCUUGCGAUCUUAAAACUCAAGCACCCAAAAAACACCAUAGAGGGGAAGGCAGGGAGCAGGGAGGAUCUGUCCUGCCGUGUCCCCACCUCAGAUCCUGCCCAGCAUCACCCAAGCAGCCGCUGCUGGGAGCGGAGUUGCUCCUGGAUCACCUUAAGGCUAUUUGCAGCUCUUGCUGAUGCCCUUUCAAUACCCAAUCCCGAAACUUUUCAUGCGAGGAAGCUUGCAGGAUGACAGAUUGCACCUUAAAACAAAGAGGUAAUAGCUCUUAGGUCCAGAUCUGUUCUUGGAACUAAAUUCACUGCAGAAGAAGUGUUUCUGCACAACUGCAUAAUGCCUCAAAGUGGCAUUUUACAAUCUUUAAAUUCCAACACCGAUGAAGAAUUCUGCUUUAAACUACUGCAGCAGCCCAGCCCCCCUUUAUUUAUGAGUAAUAGGCUUUUCAUUUAGAUUUAACUACAGAUUCGAGUGGUUUCCAUGUGCCAGGGCUCGGAGUCACACCAGUGUCUCCUGAGGUGGCCGUGCUGUUUCCACAGAGUCACUCAGGAUCCCCACCAAACCUGUCUUUGCAUACAUACGUGUGUAUUUUAUAUAGAUGUACACAUGCACUUCAUUUUUAAAAAGACAAAGUUUUUAUUCCAGGCUUCAUUUUCCUUUAAACCGUAUGAAGCCAAAGUUCGAAAGGAUGACCCCAAAAUUGCCAGUUUGAUUGUAAUUUCCCCCAAAAGAUUUUGGGUUGUAGGUACAUAGAGAACGAUGGCUUUGCUUCCCCCUUUCUGCUCAUCAUCCCAUGCAACGCUGAUGUGCCAGGAAGCGUGGAUGGGAUCAGGGAGCUUGGUGAGUUUGCCACAUCAGUAGUCACUGAGAGUGCCUGAAGUUUCAUUUUUCAAUGGAAAGCUGCAGUGAAACGAGUAUUUUGCUACUCAUCUUGUUAUUAUUCAUCAGUGCUUCCAAGCACCUCUCAGCCCUUUGUUUCUUGGGAAAGGCAUGGUGCUUAAAGGGGCUGAAAGGUGGAUUUUGUGGAAAGCCCAACCCACAUCUUUGAUCCCAGCGGUUUUGUAAAGCAUUCGUUUUGCUCGCUGGGAAAAUCUCUGCCCUCCCCACUCCCUCACCUCCCCCUCUUUCCCCUCCACCUAAGUUACCUCGUCUGGAUCCGAAGGAACGCUUGCCAUCCUUUGAAGAGGUAGUCUCGUCCGAAAAAUCAAUAGUCAACAUUGUCUUUAAAUAGUCUGACAUUUACCUUUACAGCAGUUUUCAUUUCUUUCCCAGAUUGCUCAGACGUUUGUAUUACCCACACACUACAUCCCUGAUCUCUCGGCCGGGAGCUUUGCACGGAUGCAGCCCCGGUGCUGCAGAGCGGCCACCAGCAAGGAACUGCAGCACGAUAAUUAACAGGACGGGAGCUCACUAAUAGAAGCAUCUUUAACUAAUUUAUGGAAGACAUCAGGUGAGAAUAAUUACAAGCAGAAGGGUAUUGUAAAUCCCUGAAGAAAAUACACUUGGAAUGCAGUUUUCCCAACAAGCAAAUCUGAAUGCUAGCCCAAAGGUCAGAAAUAAAAAGGCUGAGAGCUUCAGCUCCCCGAGCAGGCACCUCUCCGAUCCCUUCUUGUCAAGAAAUUGUCUGGGGGUUCAUUUAGAAAGCUGCUUGUUCAGGGCAGGGCCAUUUGCAAUCUGGGAAAGUUAAGCAAAUUAGCAGAAUUAUUAGGUAAGAGGCAAUUCUCCACAGCCUGCAAGGCAACCGCUUGUUAAAUGAGCUCACACCAGAGAGUUGCACUGAUCGAGUGGUGUUUGCAGAGACGGGGCUGUGCAGGCAUUUGCUCUGAAAUAAUACUGCUGUAUUCCCCUGGAAAAAUUAAAAAAAAAUGGGAAUUUGUGCAGGCUGAGCUGGAAGAUGCCUCUGUCUUCCAUACGCAUUCCUGCUUCUCUGCUCCUUCUGCUAUAAUAAAUAUCAUAAUCCUAGCAAAUGAGAGAAGGAGAUUAACCCGACACCUUUAACCCAGUUACUGCUUAAAAUAGGGAGCAGUGUGGUGCCACGAGGCCCCAAAGCAGGUGGCUCUGCACCCGCUGUCCCCUGGGGCUCAUAGGGACAGCUGUGCACUGCAGCCCCGCUGCUCUGUGCAGUGUUGGGAGUGGGAUCCAACUCAGGUCCUGCAAGGAGCCCACCCAAGGGUGGCUCACACUGCUCACUUGUUUUUAUAUACUCUUUGCCUAUUGAUUUGAUAUUUUUAUACCUUAUACAGUGCACUUAGCACAGAAAAAAAAAAAUGGAUUAACCAAGUAAAUGUGCUUUAUUAGCGGAUCUCUGAUGGAGAAUGAUGUCGGUUUUCCAUUUAAAAGAUGCAUCGGAUUCAUCCACUCAUGAAUCAAUUAGUUCAUGCUUGAGGACCUCCUAACAUGCCACAUAAAAAACUCCCAAUGUCAAACUGCACGCUGGGUGGAACAACCAAGGGUUUCAAAUGAAAAAAGUGCAUCACUGGGAAACCUUUGGCUCUUCCACCACCACUAGGAUGGAAGCACUCUGCCCAACUCUUAGUUAACACAUUCUUUCUGUUCCUUGGUUUCUUAAAAUCUUUCUUUUUUUCAAGUUUUUAUUGACAGCUUUACACUCCUCCCUCUGCUAUACAAUGGAGACGGGCACAUAUCGUAAGCCUUUCCAAUGGUAGUUUUGGGGUCAGGCUGAUUAGAUUUGGGAAGUGUCAAUUGUUGAAUGCUGUCCUCCUUCUGUCUGAGACUAACAACUCUCCCUACUCAGAGGGUUGGCCCUCUUUCUGUCCUUCCUGAGGUUUAGGGCUCAUUGGUCCAUGCUCCACACCAUGAAAAGGCACAUACACUUUCCUAGUGAUUCACAUUUCUGCUUAGAUAAGAACCAACAGGCUCCAUCCCACCCUGGAGCCCCUGGGACUAUGUGGAAGGUCGCAGUGUUUAUUUUUGGUCUUGUCCAAUUAAAGACAAUGACCUGGAGUAGAUGAGAUGCCUGGGCAUGCAUUCAUAUCACAGGCAUAAUGCAAGAACCGUAGGCAUUUAAAUGGGAAUUCUUUCUCACCCGGUUAGACCGAUGCGUAAGGAAAUAAUCCAAGUGGGGCAUUGACAAGAUAUUUUUUGUUGUAAGUCUGCAUGCUAAAACCCCUAAAUAAAAGGAUUUUACUCCUUGAGAGAAAGAGGAAAGGCUAUGCACACCCAGCCUGAGGUGUCACUACAACUCAAUGGGAGCAAUGCACGAGCACUGAGCUGCUGGGAUGGCUGCCUGCACAUUGGGUGCCCACACUAUGUACAGAGCAGAGGGCACUGCUUAAACCUCAGUCAAAUAAGUAAACAUGGACAAGGAAGUAAAAACAGACGCACUUUUUUCUCAUUGCUGCGAAGAAUUCAGGCCAUGCAAGCACCAGGGCUGUGCAAAGAAGAGCAACUAUGUUUAAGAGCAUCCUUCUCUCUCUUGGAUGUACAUCCAACAGCAGAUAACAUCACCCAGCCCUUUCUGCUUUUGGAAACCAUGUGCAGCACAACUUGCUGCUCACAUUUAAUCCAAACUGAUGUCCUACGGCUGUCAUAUGCAUGAUUAUGGCAGUCGUUUUUAAUUAGUGAUUGUGUCAAUAGUAUUGACAUUUUCAUCACUUUUGGGGGAAGUAGAGAAUAUUUUCCAGCAGGUGAAGUCCCCUCUUUGCAGUUCUCUUCCCCUCCAGCUGCACCUACUGGAUAAAUGAGCUAUGCAUCUUAUUAAAAAGAAAGCAAGAGCAUUAAGUCUGUUCUCUGCUUAAGUACAUUACAGCAACUUAGGCAACACGAAACUCAAGAAAGGCAGAAAAGCAAAUACCCUCUGUCCUAUGGCAAGAUUUACAAUCUUGUUCUGAGUGCAAUAUUUAUUAUACGGCUUAACAGAAGCUCUGGCAGGAUGGGGGAAAUGCUGGCGGCCCCGUGACAAGGAGGAGGCGUUCAAUAGCUUGCUGGGAAGUGGAGUUGGACACGAACUGAUCAACCAGCCAUUACACUCAGUGAUAAACACCCUGCAGGAGCCAUCAUUCACCCAGGAAGAAAGAGGAAGGCAGAUCAUUACAUUUAUUGGUCAUAGUUUUUAAAGAGUCAAUAAAGACCCACUAGAAAAGACACGGUUAGGAGCAGGAAUAUAUAUAUUUUUUUCAUGUAUCUUGAAAAUACCUUCAGCUCAGUUUGCUUUCUGCCCAAUACGUCAGGGUGAAUCUUCAUCCUAGGUGAUGGUCCCAGUGUAGACGGUGCUCAUAUUGUACAGUUUUUAAUGUCUUUAACCAUCUUUAGCUUUGUACCCUGAUAGCCCCUCCAGGCUAUAUGUCAAUGCCAUCUGGGAGUAAAAGAAGAGACUUCUGCUCAAGUAACGCUGUAAUGUAGAUCUCUCGACUAAAAUUGCACUUCCUUCACUUGACAAACUGUCAGCACAGAACAAUUAUCUGCCUGUUGGUUUGCUUGUCUUUUCUUUUUUUCUCCUCUCAGAAAAAAGAAAAAAAAAGAAAAAAGAAGAAGAAAAAAAAAACCAUACAAAGGAAAAGGACCUGCAGAGUAAAAUGCCGUGGGCAAAAUCCACAUAAUCUGAUUGCUGCGCCCAGAGAUGCAUUGGUGGACCACCAAAGGUAAAAGUGGGUCUAAUGCUAAAGGAGAGGGACAAUUUCUAGCUCCUUUCUUUCGGGGAUUUCCAGAGAGGAUAUUGCUAAAUAGAAGAUUAGGGAGGAAGAGGCAAGAGUCAUUAGACCCCUCUGCUUGUCUUGAGGGAGAAACCAAAACAGGCUGGAAGAGUCCAAAGCUUGUGUCCUGCUCAACAAGCUGAAGGAACCAUUUGAUUUUUCUCUCCUGGUAAGAAAGGAUGAGGAUGAUGUCUUUAGGGAAGAGAGCCAACCUGAUUUUUUGCUAGCCAUCUUGGUGUUAAUGGGACCGUGCAGUUCAUUUGGAGAAUACCCACAAAGCAUGAGUAGAGCCCCAAGAGGUGUAAUCUAAAUUAGUGGGUAAAUUUAUUUGUGCACUUUUUUUUUACUGUUUUAUUUUCCUUCUUCCCUUCUGUACCACCUCUUUUGCCACCUCCUCUGCCUCACUUGACAGAUGAAUGUGUUCAGGUCUUUGGGACAGAUAAUGUGUCUGUAUCCCUUUUAAAAGUCCUGUACAAACACUAUGGAUAUGAGAGUGCAGGUGUAUUUAGUCUGGUGUGUUUAGCAGAUUUAGAUUAUGAAUUACUGCUCAAAAUAACGUUUGCAUUUGCUGACAAAGGUCUUUAUUACAGAAGAGGUCAAGAAAAAAAGAUUAUUCCUGCUAAUUAUCCACUGCUAUUUAAUAUUUGCACAAAAGGUUUGCAAGACAGAGUCCUCAGCAUUGCUUUGUUUGAGAAGCUAAUAGGGUUUCUAGGAAACCAGCAGGGUCUGGAGGGCCAUCAGAUCAGCCUGUUAGUGGCUAUGAAGGACAAUUAGGCCUGAUGGAGUUACAGGGUGGUUGGCUAAAGGAUGGCAGUCCCUGAGCCAGGGCCUGAUGCUGGGGCAUUCAAAGUCAGUGGUAGAACUUCCACUCAGAGCUGUGCUUUAUGAGAAGCCAACUGGAGAGGAUCCAGUUUUCACACCCUGGGUAGGUCCAUGUCCUGGUUGAAAUGGAAGCUCCAUUUGCUCCUAUGCAGAGCAUCAGAAGGGAUUUGAGGGUGAACAGGUUUGACAGACAAACUGUUGGGAGGAAUAUUAGCAAUUAUUUUUUGGCCCUGGUCUUAGGUUUGUCCCUGUAUAUUAGCAGUCCUUGGAAAGUUCCCCCAAAGUCUAACAGCUGCCUUUGGCUUGGCCCCCACAUUUCUUGCAUUGGUUCAUAGUAGCCUGUAUCGUUCUACAAAUUCCUUAUUAAGUGAAUUGAAGUUCCCAUUCAUAAAGAUAUAAUUAACCAAUAAAUAUACCUGCAGAAAUUUCCAAACGUAGAUGUCUGAAGGUGAGAUCCAUGUUUAAGCUCCUAAAUACAUGGCCCAACUUUAAAAUCCCCACAUCCAUCUUCUUGCUUCAAGUGAAAUGGAAGCUUCCUACUAUUCAGUGCUCAGAUGGCUGUGGGGUACCAAAACACAGACCAAGGUGAUGUUUUGGCACACGGGUUUAUAGAGUGAUCAAAGUAGUGUGACAUCAUUGCACAACAACUGCAUCAGAUGAUAAAAUGCCAUGUACUCCCAUAUAACAUGUUGUAUGGAUGCAUACCGCUGUUCCCAUAUAUAUCCAGAACUCUUCUGGGAGGAUUUCUGGGACAACAAAUGCUUUCAGUAUUUCCUGCAGAGGAACAUGUGCCUGGGAUCUGUGUAGAUGCCAACAGCCAAAGCCUGGGAGCCCCAUUAAAAGAAAUCACCCUGAGCUGCUGCAGCAGGUGAGCCCUUGUCCACCCAUGCUUCACCAGGAGAAAACCUUUUCAGUUACAUUCCGUGGUUUUGUUCCAGUUGUGAUGUCUUCAGCUUCCCCAUUUGUCAUUUUUUAGUAAUUUAAUUAACAUUCCGAAGGAAGAAUUUUAAUAAAGGUGCUGUUUACACCGAAUGCAGCCUUGGGGAGUGAGGGAGAAUAACCCAGACUGCAGGAGUGGGGAGCAUGCUAUUUUGGAAAGCCAAGCCACAGCCUGCUGGAAGCACCCGGUUCUACUCAACCUGUCCCAGUAUCACCCACAGCCCAAACUGCCUGUUUGUGCUGGAGAUUCCUUUCCCCAGUGCUUUCAUCCCCAUCCUUCCUUGCUUAUGAAUCUUGGGUUUGGCAGCAAGAGCUUUAGGGUGGCAUUUGCACAGCGAUUCUGCAUGCACGCUCAUUCCUGUCUUCACUGAUGCUUUCACUUGAUGCAAAAUUAGGGGGUGGGAUUGGAUAAUGCCCAGAAACCAGCACUGUUGAUUACAAAGCAAACAAUUGGCAGGGAAAGGAGUGUGCAAAAAUGCGUGCCUGCAGCUUGCAGCUGCAGAGGUGGUGACCAUUGGCUAUUUUGCCACGUGCUGUGGCUGUAAAGCUACAAGCAUCCUUCCUGCGCAUGGAUGUCAAUUUGCCCCAUGAUGCUGCAGGGAUUCAUUGGAGCUACUCACUUUCCUCUGUUUACAGGCUAAAAUAUUUGCAACUUCAUGUUGUAAGGGCUUGGGCAUCUCCUAUUAGACAAGGAUAAAGCCCUUCUGGAUGCACUGGUGGGUGUUUGUAGAGACGUUGCAUUUUUGGAAAAAAAAAAAUAAUAAUUAUUAUUUCUUUUAUAUAUUUCCAGGGUGGUGUGAAGGAGAACAUCCUCCUCCAACAGUUCAUGCACAGCUUCCCACUUAUGCAUUUUUCAGAACGAAUGCAGCAAAUAUACCUGAUCAGUGCUGAUACAACUGCUUCUCCUCCCCGACAUAUUUACACUAAGAGAUUGAUGAACCACAGGAAAAGAAGAAAAUAACAGAACAAACAACUUAUCUUCCCAGAAGCUCCCUAGAAACUUAUCUGUCAUCACUGCCCAGGCUGCAGCAAGAGGGGAUUUCAGCAUGGAAGGUAUUCUCAGUGUAUGCUGUUCACUCUGAGGGAACUUUUGACACCCAAGCAUUCUUUUCAGUGUGAGAAGCGAUUACUGCUUCCCAAAGGGGAGAGCUGGAGACCUGAGCCCUCAGCUCUGCACAUGCUCCUCAACCCCAACUUGUUCUCAGGAAAAAGUACCAGGUAUUUGCCUGAUCUAACGGAAUACAUGGAAAAAAAACAAACAACAACAACCAAACCACUAUUUGGAUUUCAGUAGGACUUCAGCAUAGACGCUUUGACACUUAAGGUGAGAAAAAUGAGCUACAGAGGAAAGCAUGGGUUUCCUUUUAGCUGAGGAGGGAUGCUCCUGCAGCUCCACUGCUCCUCAUGUCUUUGUCUUUAAAACACUCAGUGACAUAAAAAUUAGACGCACGUUAAACCUCAAAUCUAGCAAAUAGCUCCAUCUCUUAAAGCAUGUGAAUACUCCUGAUACUAUUAAGAACAUUUAACCGGUACCUGAGGGACUGGGGACCUGGAGUCAGGCGACCCAGUUUCCUACAUAAGAAAAGAGAGAAAUGUCUGCCUCCUCUAAUGCCAGGGGUUAUCCUGGGCCAGGUAUCUUUAAAAAGUAAAGAUGUGAGCAAUCUCAUAUCAGACUUAUGCAUCCAAAUGGCUCAUUAUACCAGCAGUAAUAGCUUGUGAUAGUCCUAUAGAUUUACAGUACUUAGGAAGAGAUGAUGCCCAACGUCCUUUCCCAACAAUCAUUAUGACAUGGGGAAAACCAGUGAUUUUCUUUAAGUCCAUUAGCAUAAUAUUUGUGCUUAUGAGGAUUAGACCAGCAGACACUUCACAGGUCUUUAGAAACAUAAGCCCAACACAUUCAAAUGGAGACUUUUUUUGGAACAAAGCUAUUAUCUCUCAAAUCACCCAAUAUUGCUGGCCAGUUUGGGGCAGCUGGGAAGCAGCAGGUGCUUCCACCCCAUUCCCUGCCUUGCCAGCCCCAGAAUUCCCAUUUCGUGAGCAGCUCAGCGCAUGGAACAAAACACAAGGAGGGAACUUCAGAUCAAAACGUUUAUUCUUCAUUGCAGCGGAUGAAACACAGGCACGAGGCUCCUGGGGGGGAGGUGUCUGAGCAAUCACACGUAAAACGUACAGCAUUUGCACUUGAAAUACACAGACCUGAAUCACAGCUGGGAUCAAUACAGGAGGACGAUAGAGAUUAUCAAUCUUGAGUGGUCUCCGUUACACAGAAUUGACUGGCAGCCACAUAAUGGCUCGGGCUCAGCCCACCAGUUUAGAGCCCGGGUGACAGAUCUGCAGACGCCAGCCAUCAGCAUCCCUCCUUGGCCCCUCUCACGUGCCCAUUUCUUCUGCUGUCCGGGUCAGCCUCCGAGGUGCGUCUGAGAGAUCAAUGCACAGCUACAGCUGGUUGAAGGGGACCAAAUCCAUUGAACAGUUGAUUUGGUUCCAUUUUACCAGCUUUAGCAAAGCAUUUGGCCUCACGCUCUGCAAAGCAAAGAGGGGAACUCCUCAGGGCCUUUUCCUUCACAGUCGCCAGGACCUCUUCUGAACUUGCUGCCUGACGUUGCACGGGUUCACAUGGCUUCGCUUUCAGGCAUUCAGGAUUUAUUUAAGCUUCUUAGCAGCUUUGGCUGAAGAGCGAGUCUGAAUUAAAGAGGCAGUUUUAAAAGCAGUGGAACAGUCUGCAGCACUCAGUGCCUGCCUGUAGCCUUUUAAACCCGGUGUUUGGCUCUGUUUUGAAGCUGCAUUGCUACCACAGUGUGACUGAGUAGUGUCCUAAUCCAGGUCAUUUAAUUGCCACCUCCAGCCUUCUUUCUUUCAGAUCUUUUGUCUGCUAUCCCCACCCGUGCCCUGCAUUCUGGUAACUCAAGUUUUCUCAUCUACCUUUAAAAUCAGUGCUUUCCAUGGCUUUCAGAUCUGUUGAAGACAAGCAAGGACUGUAUUUACCACCAUCGGGAGGGCGUUGAGUGGAAGAGAAAGCGGAGCAGCCCUGCAGCCUCCCAGCCCCAUCCUCUGCAAGGGCUCAGCCUGCAGCUCCCGGAGAGCCCCACGCUGUGAGCACCCACUGCUCCCAAUAACUCAGUAAAUCAGAUUUUUAAAUCACAGCAGCAGGAGCCAAUAAAGCCAGACCUCUCCUUCGUAACCCAGCGCCACGCGCAGAUAUUGCACAUCGCCACGUGCGUAACCUAUUUAAAGAAUUUACAUGCAUCGCGAGGCAAAGGUGACUUUUUCCCCCCUCUCCCUCACAGCCCACCGCACACACCACGACAUGACACCGAGAAAAAAGCACCUGUGCUGAAAGGCACUGCAUGCAGAGAUAUUGCAUGUGGGCCGGUAUUGCUGGUCCCCAAGAAAUCCAGGCUUUGCAUUGUAACAGUAAGUAGUGCAGAUCACUUAACUGCCCAGCCCCAGUACUGUAAGCUGCCUAUAAAUAAAUGCGGAGAGAGAGCGAAAGAGAGAGAGAACAUCUUUUUUAAAAGAGCUCUACAAUUAAUUUAAUCGAGUUAUCUCUAGGUACCUUUUCAAGAGACAAUCAAGCCAAGGAGCUAAAUGGAAACUUAGACAGUGAGGACCUAGAAGUAUUAAACUCAUCCUUUGGUGAGUUAUAGGAGGGAGGGAAGUAAUUAUUUACCAGAGAACGGGAGGAGGUGGAAGUGCCAGCAGUGACCGAUGCUGCACCGAGACUGCAAGCUAAACCCUGACGGGCAUAUGGAUUUUGGGAGGCAGAGCAAUGAACUGCCCGAACAUCAGCAUGGCGUGCUCCAGGUGCCCUUGUCCUGUCCCCAUCCCAUUGGUUUUGGCAGGAAGGGCGUUAAAACAAGCAUCUUCUGCUGGAGAUGAGUGCUGCUCUGUUCCCCUCGCUUUGCUUCAGGGAGUGCCCCGCAGCACAUCCGAAAUCAAUGCCAGCACGCGCCGACAUUCCGUAACGUUUUGUUUGAAUUCUCUGCAGUGAGUUAUGAGUGAGGUUUUCCUUUUUAGAAAAUUAGGUUUUCUCUUCUGGAUGCCAUUAAUCACGACUAACGAUGGCUCUGGCGGCGAGGCUUUCCCAGAACUGAGGAAAAGCAUCCCCACACCUCUGCUGCAGGGCUGCAGCACAUGGGGCUCACAGCCCCCACACACCUGGGCCCGGCCAGCAGUGCAGCAAGAGGAACUGCAGAGGCUUUGCUGGAUGUGUUCAAAGGUGUGAGCUGUGCUGAAACCCAGUCAGACCAGGCUUUGGUGUCACUUACCCUUCCUAUUGCCCUCCCAGGUUCAAGGACCGGGCGACCCAGCGCCACCAAAUUUAGGUUUGCUGUCUGAAGGUCAUCCUCAUCCAGUUGUUUCCUCCCAGCAGUGCUUGGAAUUGGGUCUCACUGGGAAGGUCCUUUCUGGUCGCUCUGUCCCUAGGACCCUGCCCAUGGGACCGACACCGCCCCAGCCAGGAAUGGCCACAUAGUGGAAUGGCACUGGGGAGAUAUAGGAACACAUCUCUGAAGCAAAUCCAAGGCAAAAUAGCAAAAUAAAGCUGUGCAUCUCAUUCCCCUCUCUGCCAGUCACUGUGUAAUGCCUCGGUUUUGCUUUUGGUCUAAGUGUCAGCUUUGCAGUUCAUGAUUACACUUCUGAGAGCAGCCAGAUCCCUGUGUUAUCAAAGCACUGCCAUGGCAAGUGGGGCCAAAAGUGGGCAACAUAAGAGAACCUGGGGCAAUGAAGACCUUUGUGCUUUAGCCUCAACAUUCUAAUGAAGAUGUUUUAUAUAGACAGCACAGAAUAGCCAAAGAAUUUAUCAACAUUUGUCGAUAUUCCUAAUGAAGCAGAAGAUUCAACAUGCAAUAGAAUUAGCCUACAAGGAACCCUUGUGUAGGGCCCAUCCUUCUGAGUCCAGAAAUCUCCUGCUUAUUCCAGUCCAAUACCCUUUUGAGAAAUGAACAUCUCUUGAAAUCAUUAUCAUUAUAAGCUAAAAGGCCAAAUGAGACAAAGUACUGUUGCUCUUCAUCUGAAUAAACAAAUCAUUUUUAGAUCAAAUGCAUUAACAAUUUAUCAUGCUAAAAUCCAAUCAAAAGGAAAAAACAACAAUACAGAACAUUGAUUUCUUACAGCUUUAUCUUAAUGAAGUGCACAUUCCCUCUGUAAUUAGCUUUGGAAGGUUUUUUUCCCUUUCCUCAAGUUAAUGUGUUAUUUGAUUUCCAUCCAAAUGUCACUAAAUCUGAGGAAUUUUCCCCAAAAUGAAGUGGCUUUUGAUAAUACAGGAAAACGUCUGCUCUCUCAUUUGGCUAUUUUUCCCCCAAACAGCCAUACUUGUACUGCAGAUGAUUCAACUUUAUUGCAUGGUGUCUUUGCGAGGAUGUUUAAAUCAAUGCCACAGUUGCUGUAUUCUGCACAAUGUGCCAUUUGUAAGCCAGAAAAUACAACCUCGGUGCUUUUAUCCUUUUUCUUACAGACAUAAAAUAUUAAUUUAAUUUAUAUUAUUACAGGGGAAAAAGUGGACUGUGUUUUAUUAACAUUUCUAAAAUUAUAGGUAUUCAACCCAAAAAAUAUGCUUCAGCCAAGGCUGGGAAGUCUUCCGCUUGGAUUUUAUUUGACUUAAUUAAAAAGCACUCAGUUCCUAUGGGCACUAAAGGAGCUGCUGACAGUGCAGUAGCCACUCAGUCUUUCAAAACUAUUACCUGAACUUAAUAAAGUGUCUAUUUAGUUUAUACACCUCCAUGAUCCCACCUGUCUCCCACCAACAUGAUGCAAUUCUUGCUAAUGGCUGGAGAAGGCAGCGGGUUGAUGGCAGCCCACAGGCACCCCAGGCAGAACAAUUCCCAUAUCCUAUUGCCUGCCCUAUCUACCUUUAAUCACAGGGUCACAGAAUGGCUUGAUUUGGAAGAGACCUUUAAAGCCCAUCUGGUCCAACCCCCCGCAAUGAGCAGGGAAACCCACAGCUCCAUCAGUGCUCAGAGCCCCUCCAGCCUGACCUUGGGUGUCUCCAGGGAUGGGGCACCUCUCUGGGCAACCUGUGCCAGUGCUUCACCGCCCUCAGCAUAAAAACCUUCUUCCUCAUAUGCCAAUAUCCGAAGCGUUCAAAUCUCCACCAUGCUUGUAAUGAUCAAUGCUAGGAAAGCUUUUUCCCGGCUGCCUCUCUGCUCCUCCACUACAUAUCUCAUUUAAAUCUUUUCUUCUUUAAAUGAUGCUGAACAGAGGACUAUUGCUUUCAUCCUGCUUCACUGAGUAUUUGCUGAAAUGCAGUGGCUAAUUUGAUAGUCCGGUUUUAUUUGGACGUACUGUCGAGACAGAGAGCAAGAUCUAUAACAGAGAAUAUAACCCCAAAUCCUACCAAUUACCAGCUUAUUCCUUAGUUAUACAGGAGACCACAAGUGACCUUAUCAAAAUCUUGACUCUCAAUAUGAACAUCUUCGUCUUAAUCCAAAUUUCACCCUGGAGCUGAAGGUCCUGCUUCAUACACAGCCUAAGAACUGCGGAGCAUCCAUUGCAGCAGGGAGCCCACCCCUGGGACAGGGCUGCCCGCCGAGAGCUGCAGCUCCUGGAACUGGCAGCAGAAAUAGUUUGGAGUUUGGAUUUUUAAACUCACACACUCAAAGAGAACAAAGCUGUUCCCUAAUACACUUUGUGCAUUUUAUGGACCGAACAAUUAAAGAGGUUUUAAAACAUCUGCUGACUGCAUAAUUCCAUACAGGGGAGUGUACUCAGCAUUUUUAAACAACAACGGGUACGAGAUACCACUUAACAGUACAAAACACCAUCAGUCCCGUUAAAAUCAAUAGAAAAUUAGAUGCUAUGAAAAUGCAAUAUGUGUCCAAUUAGUUAUAAUUGGAGCAAAUGGUGAUGCAGAUAAACUCCUGGAGUAAGAUGCAUUUGUCCGGCCCGCUCCCUGCCUGCUUUCGGCACAGCACGGUAUCGGCAGUGGCAGGCUCUGCUGUGCCCCAUAGCAUGAAGGAUGAUCCCUCUAAUACACGUAUGUUAACUGUUAUCUAAUUAUGGAGCUGCUCUGAGCCUGCAGGACUGUUUCGGUGCCCCACCGUGCGCGGUGAAAAAUGAUCCUCUGUCACACGGAAACCUCCCUGUUGUACUUGACAAAUUAUGCCAGCAAACCUGUUUAAGAACUAAAAAAUCCUUGGACGCGGUGACAGGCCAAGAAAUAUGUUGUUUGGGGACAGAUAUUUAUUUAUUUAUCUGGCAGAGGUUAAGAGCCACCACUCGGUUCACUUCUCCCCUGCCUGUCUCCGUUCUGGCAGCUCAAAAUCCGUCUCACCGAUUGUUUCGCCGGUUUCUUUCAACUCAUAAAAACUCCAUUGCAAGGCAAAACAGGAACUAGGUUAUGCGAUGCCAGCGCUUUAUUUUUAACAUCUCCCCUGCAACACGUUGGCCUCCUCUUGGUUUAAUCUUACAACUAAAGGAAUAAGAGCGACGGUUCCGCACAUCCCCAACCGAGUAUUGCCGCCGGCCGCGCUGCCAACCCUCCGUGCCCUUGCAGGGUAUGGAAAUGUGAAACUACUCACGUUGCUCUCAGUACAACCCAUAUUAACUUUGGGGGGUAUUUUUUUCAUAUAUUUGUCUAUAAAGUAGAGAUUACUUUACACAAACAAUUAGCUCAGAGGUAAGAAGCUAUAACUACCGGCAGGGCUCUUAUUUUAUUCCUGUUUUCUGUUAAUAUUAUUAUUCUAAUCAGCAGUAAGGACUGGUGGGUGCAAAGAAAAGCUCCUGUUUGCCCGGCCCUGAAACCUCCUUGUGUUAUUGCUGCUGUUACUUACACGGGAAAGGGAACUGUCUCUUGAGGAAGGGAAAAAAAUGGAGGUGGCAGCUUUUAUUUGUUAAGCUGACUCAGCUGGACAGUGGAACAAGAAAUGUUCAGAUCCAAUCCAUAACUUUUGUGGCCGCUCUAAGGACGUAUUCUUCCUCGACACUGAUAAAAGUUUAAUAUGGAGUUGCCCAGGUUUUUAAUAAACUUGUCAACAAAAGAGCAAGGCAAAUUGAUGGGGACCUUCCCAGGAAUAAAUUCCACUUCAAAUAGGCCAAAUGAGUGUGGAGGACAGAGAGGGGAAGGUACACGGGCAGCUUCUGCUGUUCUUUGCAAAAAUGGCACAAUGGAUUUUAGUGGGUGCGUAUGUGUGUGCGUCUUAUUAUCUCUGAGACAAGGCUUUAGGACAAAGCUUAAAUUAAAGAACACAACCUGGUGUGGCUCAGAGCCCUGACACGGCAAGGAAGGGAAGGGACAAAGCUCCGGCACUGAUUUAGCGGUGAAGCCAUUCCCCACUAAGGAACUGCCAUCUCACCCUGCGAGUAGUGCCGCAUCUCCCAGUGCACCUGAAGGCUCCAGGCAUCUCCUACCCAGACUGUGGUCACUUUGGGACCAUCCCCAACACACUCUGCAACAACCUUUACUCAUACGCUGAGUAUCACCUGUGCCCACCCAUGCAUCACCUGCCCGCCAGCAGACCCUCUCUACUCUGACCUGUGAUGCCAACAGAGUUUUAUCCCACAUCCCCCACUACGCACAUCACAUUUCAGCUACUGCCUGCGCGUUUAUCUCCACUCAGUCAAACCAAUCCCAUUCACUGCUCAAUUUUUUUACUUCCAUACAUCAUGAGCUGCCUCCAGGCACCACACCGCCCCUUCCCAUGGCAUUGACUGCAGGCAUGGCAGGAGGGGCACACACUGCAUGCUCUGCAAGCUUGGGAUGGAAAUCUCUGCACGAGAUGCAUUAUUUUCUAUUAGCCUCCAUCAAGCUGGUGCCUUAAAUUAUUAAGCUUUGUUGUGGUGUUGGUUUGUUUUUUUUUUUAAUUUGUUGACCUGAAGUAAACACAAGUAUUAAAUCAGAUUCCAAUAAUCUCACUGACAGUAAAUUAACUCAUUGUGUCCUAGAGGGGGACGCAACCGCAUCUUGGCCACUCUGAGCAAUGCUUCACCAUCCCUGCAGAUUCCACAUGCAUGCAAUGGGGUAAAAAGCAGAAGGCCAGAUCCUGCCUCCAACCUUGGGCCAUGUCCCAGAUUGGAAGCUCUGCCUGGAUGCCGCGAUGAAAUUUAUUCCUGAUCAUUCUUAGGUCACCGGAUUCCUGCUCCGGUAGCUUUACCCGACCCCCCAAAUGCCAGGGUCGACGUGCCUAUGUAAGGGCUUUGCAGGGACGGCUCCUGCCCUCACAGCUGCUUGGGGACUUCUGCAGCCGGUGGUCACGAGCCCCUGGCUGCCCAGAUGCCACCUAAUCCGGCCCGGCAGAGGGGCAGCUGAGAAUGAGCACUAUUUAUACCAGCUGCUGCUGGUCCCGCUGGGCUGCCUGUGGCUUUUUUAGCUAGCAGCUCCCAUCCCAGCGCAGGCCAUAUCUGGACAUGGCACAGGCAGAGUGCUGUGCUUCGAGAAGAGAAGAAAGAAAAAAAAAAGAGGGAAAAAAGGAAAAGCUGCAUCUGUUUUAAGAUGUCAGGCACCCUGUUUCCAUCAAAGCAUCCUGAGCACCACCAAAACUGCUCCAACUGCUAAAAGCUUCACUAUAAACUUGCCUCUUAUUCCAAGUGUGUCUGUCCUCUGACAACCUUCCACCCGUGCACAUGGCUAUUGGCCUCUGUUCCUUCAUACAGACCUCUAUGCAAGAAAUGCAAGCUCAAAGCAAGGGUGAAUGCUGACACUGCUUACACAGUGUGAGCAGAAUCUCCUUUGGAGAAUUACAGGGUGUCAGAGGAGGCAGGCGGCUUGGAGCUCUGCCUGUUGAGGAGGCUGCACAAGACUUUGCAUUUUGGCCAUUACACACUCAGAAUGAGCUUGUUCUUGGGUAAUUGCACCAAGACCUUCUCCAGUCCUAUCCCUGCAAUGGCUUCAGCAUCUCUACAUGAGCAGCCCCCUCCCUCUGGGGGAAUGCAAGGCAGGGGAGCAGCAUAGCUGCCUGCAGCCCAGCAAGCAGGCGGUGCAAUGAGCUGCACUCGCCAUGACCCUGCAUCCCAACAGGGAAGCAUCUUGCUGCAUGAUGGCUUCAGGUCAAGAGCAACUUCAGCAGAAAGCGCUAAACUGAGCGCCUUCACUGGGAGGGAAUCGCUGAAAUCAGCGCCCGGCUUUCAGGGGAGGGAUGCGAGCUCCGGAGCGAGGAUAUUUCUCUUGCAAGGAACACACCACCCCCUCGCCCACAGCCACCGUGAAGUGCAAGAUGUGGUGAAACUCUUUAAAAAUAGAUAUAUUCCCAAGCAAUACAUGCCGCUCGCAUCUGGCAGGGCAAACCUAGCAUGGAAGCUCUUGCUUACAGACUAAAAAGCCUCGGAGCAGCUCAAGGCUCCUGCAACCUUGUCUCUCUCCUCGAUUCUUCAGAGCCCGCUCUUGUUCUUGGCCUAACCCAGUCCUGGGAAGCACAAGGGAAGCCCUGCCCAGCUAGGCUGGUGUCAAAGGCAGGGAAAGAUACUGCAGUGCAGUGCUGAUCUCUUCUGCAAUCGGACGUGCAGACUAGCCCGAAUGCUGAGUCAGCACAAUUUCUUUUUUGAUUGGUUGAUCCGAGUAACAUACUUUCAAUGUAUGCUAAAGGGGCAGCAAUUAAUAUGUUUUCCCCCCGUUCUCCACCUUUCCAAACCUCCUCAAAUCAAACACACAAAUCUCACCCCCAAAGUCACUCUCUGGUCCUAAAUAUUCUGAGGCUCUUUCAUUUUUAAUUUAGGGCAUUAAAAAAAAAAAAAUUUGCAAUCUAAGCGAUGCUCACUUUGAUCGACUUGUGCUGCAGCAGCUAAAAUAUCUGUCCUGCAGGUCAAUCUAAUCAUGCUUAAUAGCAGUUUAUUCUUCAACGCAACAUUUUUCACAUUGGGUCGACAGUUUUAAAUGAGAUUGCUGAUGCACCCCUUUACUAAUGCUUUCACCAGGGCCAGCACAUCCCUUGAAAUACUCGUGCAAUAAAAUGAAUGCUUUAUUGCUCUUGAUGAAUGCACUAUUAAACUUGAAUUGCAAAUAUGCCCCCCCCCCCCUUUUUUUUUUUUUUUUUACAAAAGAAGAGUGCUGGGAUUUAUUGGACCACCUGUCUUCCAGUAUUAAGUAAUAGCAACAAAAGUAAUAAUAGCUCAUCAACAUAAACACAUGAAAGGGAAAAAAAUAAUUCAGGGGAAAACACACAGCACGAAUUCAUCCCCGUGCUCCCAUGCGCGUGUGCAAAAUUCCCAUUCUAUACCUGCCCGUAGUUCCUCUUAUGUGCAGAAAAUUCAUCUCAAGAACGGAUGGGUUUUGUGAGGCAUAGAAUAGGAAAACGUAACUAAUUUGGUCCACUGGAUUUAUGGCUUUUACAGUCCUCAGAGCUCCCGUUUCUGCUGGUGGGACCGCUCAGUGCGCGCUUUGCGGGACGGAUGGGCACAGCCGAGCAUCGCGCCUCGCUUCAGCACAGAACCUGCAGCUCUGCUCUAUGGAGAGCGAAGGAGAAGAGGCUUUCUUCAAGCUAAGAAAUAGGGAGGACCUAGUGUGGAGGAACAGUCACAGUUUUAAUCCAAACAAGAAGAAAAGCGAGAAGGAGCUGGAGCUAAGAGUAAGAAUGGCGCAAACUGGUGGACGAUGCUAAUGACUAAAGGGCUGACGUGGUUUUGGGGUCUUUACAGCAUUUCUAUUUAUUUUUUGGCAUUGCCACACUGCACCAGAGAUGGGGUAGGGUCUCAGGAUGUGUUCUGCACCCACACACCUCCACCACGUGGCUCCCACACCGUGAGACAGAGCUGAGUUAUGGUUUUGAAAAUAUUUACAUAAAAAUAAAUCUGAACACUUAGUGACUUCCUAAAGUUAGCAAUUCCGUGUGAUUAACAAGCAUAUUAAUUCAGAGAGGGGGAAGGAGAUAAAAAUUGCAUUAGGGAUGCAGGUAUCUGUUGUAAAUCAGACCAUGAGCACCUUCGCUAGAGAUAUGCACAGUGAUGUGGAAGGCUCAGUAACACCCGCGCUGAGAAUGCAGAGAAAGAGAAGAAAACAAGAAAAAGAAAGAGCAAGACAAUGAGAGAAUGAAAGAAAAGAGAAAAAAAAAAAGAAAAUAAAGAAGAGAAAAAUAUAAGAGCGGAGUUGAAAGCAAGAAAGCAAGCUAGAAAUAAGGAGAAAAUGAGAAGCACACAAGUAGAAGACAAGGAAAGAAGGAAGGAGAGGAAAGCAGUGAGGAAAAGGGAAUCGAGAAGAGGUAGGGUAAAAGGUCACCUGGGAGAGGAGGGAAAUUGCUAUUGUGGCCAGAAUGGUGAGAAUCAUCCCCAUUUUUCACACAGCAAGUCAAGCUCCCAGCAGUGAUGUACAAGUGAGAGAAAUUGCAGCCCUGUUUGGCCAUGGGAACUCUGCUGCUCCGUCUCUAUUCAUUUCCCAGCACCUUUGUAUUUAAUUGUGGCCCCAAACUGGGGCAGGACACCCUCAGUGGCUGGGACCCAUCCCUGUCCAGGGGACAAUGCCUCUCCUCAAAGCACCUGGCAAAGCAGAGGUCCCUCCUCCCCCAAGCAGAGGUUGAGCACUCCAUGUGUGUCCACCACUUGUAUCAUCUUUCUAAAAAAAGAAAGAUUUAUAAAACUUACAGAAUUCUGUACAUUGGAAAUCUCCUUAAGAGCCCAGCCCUCCUUACUUAACCUGCUAUUCACAAGUGCCUGCUUUCCGUUAAACCCCAUUUGGUGUACGUGUAACAAGUGGCAGCAGUGCUUGCCAUGAAUCACAACAAACUGAGGCUCAGCAAAGGCCUUCAGAGCACUUUUGCCAAGCACAGAGAUGUGCUGAAACCAGAGGGAACUUGCUCCAGAGCAGAACACUGCUGUGCCCUCGGCUGCACGGCGGGGUGAUGGGGAUAAGUUUGGGAGUAGGUGGGAUGGAGAAAUGCAGUGCCUAACAGCCCAGAUAUGUGCAUCUCAUAAGCUUGAGGAAAAUGGGGGCUGAAAGCUUCACCCGCCCCUACCCAGACAGAAAGUUCUGAUUGUUCGCACAGAACGUUACACCCAUUUGUAUCAUUGCAUCUCACUGCCGUGGGAUGCUGGGAGAAUAACCAGGUGUUUUACGAUGAGAAAGGUUAAAAAGGAAAACCAGAACACCAGGAAAGCUUCUCAAAUUCAAGGUGCUAUUUUCCUUAUUUCCCUCUAAUAACCCUCUAAUAACACACACUGGGAGCGCUCACUGCCUCUGGCUGGGAGCUGGGCACCCACUGGCCAUGUCCAAGGGCCAACACACGCACAGUGAACAUUGCUUCCUCUCCAGCAUUAAGCACAAAAAGUUUUAACACAGGAAACAUCCCAAAAGCUGUCUGCGUAUUUACGUGAAGCCAAAAUACUGCACCUCCAAGUCACAACUCCUUCCCUUCUUCUCCCCGCCUCCAACUCCUUUCCUUUUCCCUAGGAUUAAGGACCAGCUCUUUUACCCAGCCUUAUUUUUGGGAAAAAGGGCCGAGGGGGAAGCAGCAAUCCGGAGGGACUGGUCUGUAUCCCCGCUGAAAACCAGGAGUGGACAGCCAGCUUUCCUCUGGCAUCGCCUUUCAAAGCCCAUGCCGCAGUCAGCAUAUUGAAUAUUUAAUGUCCUGAUGAGCAUUUCCACCUGCUGACACAGGCAAAGUGACAGAACAAUACACGCACUGGAACAAGAUCACCAAUUGACUCCCCAGCCAGUCUGCCAUGUCAGGCAUCUCAAAAAAAAAAGACAAAAAUCUGUCUGUCUUCCUCCCCCCCCCCCCCUUCACACGGGGUCAUACAUUGCUCCUCCGAGAAGAGUUCCCACCUGAAAUACAUACUUCUUUACAUUCCAUAGAUUGCCAGGUUCAUAUGGGCAUAUAAAGAAGUAUGUCUCUCAAGCAGGUAGGUUCAAUAUGCGCAUUUAUAUGUACACGGGAGGAAAUAGGGCUGGCGUGCCAUUUACUUCCCAGGAGUGAGUUACAGCACAGUUUGAGGCAGCCCAUGUGCAAAACACACACAUGCAUGCACACACACACACACACACACACACUCACUCCCCUUGCUGGUCAUUCCGGCUCUGCCCCUGCAGGUUGCUGGGGUUUAGGGCUGGGAAGAGGCAGUGGGCAAUGCCUGGAGUGCCUGCAGCACUUUGUCAUGGAAUGGCACAGAGGAAAAGCCCCACUCCCAGCCCCCCUACAAAGAGGAUGCUUUCACUGAAAUUGCAAACUUUCAGCAAUUAAAAAGGCUUUAGUUGAAGGAAUUUGCUUUCUGUGUAUAUAUAUAUAUAUAUGCAUAUAUAUAUGUGUGUGUAUAUAGAUUUAGACAAAGCCAUGUGGGUGGAGGUUAAGUAGAUAUCAAAUCCCGAUCGCCUCCAUCCUGCAAUUUAGAAACAAGAAGCCAAUUUGCUUUCAGAAAGCCAAAAUCCAGCAUCCGGCACUGAUUUACAAAGCAACACCAGCAAGAAGUGCUCCAUCUGGCAGAGCAAGAGAACUCACCAGCUACAGACACGCCAUCGCUUCCAGCACUAAGUAGAGAUUAAGGCAUAGGAAGAAGAAAGCAUCUUACCUAAAGAAUCCAGUGAUUUUUCCUCUGCUGGUCACCGUGAGUGUGACACUACCUUGCAGCAAACAAUCCCCAAUAUACCUUGGGAGAAGGGCGGGGGAUUUCGGGGUAUUCAAAAAACGUAUAUAAAAAACAAUUCGCUUUUCACAAGUCAUCCAGCGGAGCCCCACACCUGGGGUAGACACCAGCAGAGAUGCAAACUAAAAAGCAGCCCCAGCCCCGUGCUGGUGGCUUAGGCCAAAAAAGUCUUUCGGAGUUGUCCCCGUGGGGCUCAUCCCCACACGCAGCCAUCAGUUCCCGUUGCCUCUGCCCUCCGCCAGCAGCCACGCUGAGCUUUAAAGCUCC